rnacentral:rRNA from 1 species
GACGAACGCUGGCGGCGUGCUUAACACAUGCAAGUCGAACGGAAAGGCCCUGCUUUUGUGGGGUGCUCGAGUGGCGAACGGGUGAGUAACACGUGAGUAACCUGCCCUUUACUUUGGGAUAACUUCAGGAAACUGGGGCUAAUACCGGAUAGGAGCUCCUGCUGCAUGGUGGGGGUUGGAAAGUUUCGGCGGUUGGGGAUGGACUCGCGGCUUAUCAGCUUGUUGGUGGGGUAGUGGCUUACCAAGGCUUUGACGGGUAGCCGGCCUGAGAGGGUGACCGGCCACAUUGGGACUGAGAUACGGCCCAGACUCCUACGGGAGGCAGCAGUGGGGAAUAUUGCACAAUGGGCGGAAGCCUGAUGCAGCAACUCCGCGUGCGGGAUGACGGCCUUCGGGUUGUAAACCGCUUUCGCCUGUGACGAAGCGUGAGUGACGGUAAUGGGUAAAGAAGCACCGGCUAACUACGUG